GUGGGACUGGGCGGCGAUGGUUGCCGGGAAAUUGUAGUACUUGGGGGUGCCGAAAGUCUGCGGCGCCUGCGCAGAGGAGCUCGGCCGGCGACCCCGUGCGUGGCAGGAAGCGGAAGGGGGCCCGAGGGCUCGAGCACUGACGUGUCUCUCGGAGUGAGCAGGCGUCUCCGCCCGGCCUCGGCUCCCUCUUCGGACAGCACAAGCGGCCGAGAUGGGGAUUAAAUUUCUUGAAGUAAUCAAGCCCUUCUGUGUUAUCUUGCCUGAAAUUCAAAAGCCAGAAAGGAAGAUUCAAUUUAAGGAAAAAGUGCUAUGGACAGCUAUCACACUUUUCAUCUUCUUAGUAUGCUGCCAGAUUCCCCUGUUUGGUAUCAUGUCAUCGGACUCAGCAGAUCCUUUCUACUGGAUGAGAGUGAUUCUGGCUUCAAAUAGGGGAACAUUGAUGGAGCUGGGUAUUUCACCCAUUGUCACUUCUGGGCUCAUCAUGCAGCUCUUGGCUGGCGCCAAGAUAAUUGAGGUUGGGGACACUCCAAAAGACAGAGCUCUCUUCAAUGGGGCGCAGAAAUUGUUUGGCAUGAUUAUUACAAUUGGUCAGUCUAUCGUCUAUGUAAUGACGGGGAUGUAUGGAGACCCAUCUGAGAUGGGUGCUGGUAUCUGUUUGCUUAUCACAAUUCAGCUUUUUGUAGCUGGACUGAUAGUUCUACUAUUGGAUGAGCUUCUACAGAAAGGGUAUGGUCUUGGUUCUGGCAUCUCUCUCUUCAUUGCUACCAACAUCUGUGAGACUAUUGUAUGGAAGGCAUUCAGCCCCACCACUGUGAACACAGGCCGAGGAAUGGAGUUUGAAGGAGCCAUUAUUGCUCUGUUCCAUCUGCUGGCUACUCGUACAGACAAAGUCAGAGCUCUCCGAGAGGCCUUCUACCGCCAGAACCUUCCUAACCUCAUGAACCUGAUUGCCACCAUUUUUGUCUUUGCUGUUGUCAUAUACUUCCAGGGCUUCAGAGUGGACCUCCCCAUCAAAUCUGCCCGCUACCGUGGCCAGUACAACACUUACCCGAUCAAGCUAUUCUAUACUUCCAAUAUACCCAUCAUUCUUCAGUCUGCCUUGGUAUCUAAUCUGUAUGUGAUCUCCCAGAUGUUGUCUGCUCGCUUCAGUGGCAACUUGUUGGUCAGCCUGCUGGGCACCUGGUCUGAUACUUCAUCCGGAGGCCCUGCUCGCUCUUAUCCAGUCGGUGGACUUUGCUAUUAUCUGUCACCCCCUGAGUCCUUUGGUUCGGUGUUAGAAGACCCUGUCCAUGCAGUUGUUUAUAUUGUGUUUAUGUUGGGCUCCUGUGCUUUCUUCUCCAAGACAUGGAUUGAAGUUUCUGGCUCCUCUGCCAAAGAUGUUGCCAAACAACUAAAAGAGCAACAGAUGGUAAUGAGGGGUCACAGAGAAACUUCCAUGGUCCACGAACUAAACAGGUACAUUCCCACAGCUGCUGCAUUUGGUGGUCUCUGCAUUGGUGCUCUCUCUGUCCUGGCAGACUUCCUUGGGGCAAUUGGGUCUGGAACUGGAAUCUUGCUAGCUGUUACUAUCAUUUACCAGUACUUUGAAAUUUUUGUAAAGGAACAGAGUGAAGUUGGGAGCAUGGGAGCUCUUCUUUUCUAAACCCAGCUUCUCAUGGACCUGGGAAAGGGGAAGGCGUAUUCUUGAAUCAUCCAGUCAGGUCUUUCUGCUUUAACUCCUUUGCAGCCAUAUUGAAGAGCAAGACUUGCUGCUCAUGAACAUGCUACUCACACAGUGCACAACACCCUGAGAGAUGUGAUGACUAUCAGGAUCUCAACAAGGACAGUCGGGACAAAGGAUCAGCGCAAGGGCAAACCUGAGGCUGGGAGUAGCAGAGGAGUCUGUAGUCAGGGUCCAGGUCAGAGGGUCAGAAUCAGAAGGUGAAGUCCAAAUCAAGAUAGGAAUGGUCUUGGCAGCUAUGAGAGAUCCAUAUUGUUGCCUGGACAGCUCCUGGAAUGCCCCUUAGUUUUAUAUAGGGUGGGGAGCCAAUCAGGAGCCAUGAGGCUGCUGCCUGUCAGACCCCUUAAGGUGGGACUUCCCAUGGUCUGGUGGCCACAGCGAGGCAGGGCAGUGGAGUGCAGGCUGCUUACAGCUGCUGCUGGGUGGCAGCUCGGCAGGUCUGGGUUCUAGAUACAUGGGGCCUUACAAUGAACCUUCCAUUUUGAGAACCUCAGCACUUCUACCGGAAUGCCGAGUCCACUGUCUCAGAUGGUGCUCCUUUGUGGCAGCAUGUAAUCUCCAGUAACUGAGACAUUGAGCAGAAUGUAUUUAGGCUUUGAUUAUUCUACAGGGCAAAUCUUGUUGUGGGCUAUCUCCUGAGCAACUCCCUGAAGUCGAUGAGGCUGCAUGGAUGAAGAGACUGCGGAAUCUAGGCCUGUGAGAUCUGCAAAGAGCAAUGUCCAGCUCAUCUGAUGGGAGGAUUUCCUUGGGCUCACCUAGCAGAGCUGUUGCCUAUGGAUGAGUAGAGAUCCACUGGGGUCUGUCUUGGCUGUGGUAACUUGUGGGAUACACAUGAGUUGAGUCUAGCCAGAGAUUGAGAGAGUCUGCUAAUUUUUGGCCAAGUUCACUCUGGCAUUUUGCUACCAGCUAGUAGAUACAGCAUAAAGCACUGUGACAGUGGCAUUCUGUCUCCAGGACUAUGUCAAUACAGGAGCUAGAUUAGCGUGGACCCUGACCUGGGUACCACUGAACUGACAACUUGCUAGGUUCCUGAGAGCCACCCUAAUUUUUUGGUUCUUGUGUCAUCCUUGACAGCUGCACAGAAAUAGCCUUUGACCAUGCUAGGUCACCAGCAAUACAAUCUAAUUGAUCAGCUUUCUCCUCACUCUGGUUACUGGAAGAGGGUAGUUACUGGUCACAUUUGGUAGCUCCUCAGUUCACAUUUGACUAUUCCUGGCCUAGAAGAAGCCGCUUUUAAUGUUCUGAAUGCCGGGCGUUGGAGUGGAUAGAAGAGGUGUAGGUGGUUGCAGUCAUUCCACCUUUGAGUGUGAUGCCGUCAGAUCUCAUAAGCUAAACAGGUUUGGGUUUGGUCAACACUUGGAAAGGACACUUCCACCAAAGCUCUAGGUAAGUUAUUUAAUAAGGUGCACUCGUCCCUCUGCAUCAGAACUGAACCAAUGCCCAGCAUGUUGGCAAGGGUACUAUAUUGCUGGAGGUGCCAUCUUUCACCUAAGAUACAAAACCAGGGCUCUGAUCACUUGUCUGUUAAGUGCCCAUGUCACUUGUUCUAAGAGGGUGGAUGUUCUGCUGAAAUUCCACUCUAGAUCAUUUCAUUCUUCCUCCCUAAAUCCCCCUGUGGUUUCAGAUGGAGAUAGGAUAGUUUCUAAACUGUUGUGCAGCAUUGCUGUGCCCUGUUAAACAGUUGCUGCAUUCUGCUCCAGACGUAGCUACGUUUCCGUGGCAGUUGAUGUGAUCCCUGUGUCUAAUGGAACAGUGCUGAGAUGGAAGACGCUGUAUGACUAUAAAAUAUUAUUAAUUA